GAAAUUUGUGAAAUAAAAAAGAUAUUACAUUUUGGAGAAUUUCAUGAGUUUGGUAGUAGAUCUAUAGUUCAAAUUUUGAGGACUUUUGAGAAUAAUUGUUUGAAGUAUAUGCUUUAAUUUUGAGCUUGAUUAAUUGGUUAAAUUGAAGGUUAUUGAAUUUUAAGUAGGUUAAGGUCUCAAAAAUUGGACUUUGAAGGAUAAUUAGGGUUUUUAAGAUUUUUAGCAAUGUACUAGUUGGAUUGAAGUGAAAUUUGUAUUUAAAGGUAAUAGACUUGAUUUGUUAUAUAUCUGUGAAAUUAAAAAACAAUUGAAUAGUUUAAAAAUGAGAUAUUGGCAUUGGAAGUUCAACAUUUAGAUUGGAGUAGGAAGUUAGCCAAUACUCAAAUAGGUUUUAGGAUUUUUCUUCCAUUUGAUAAGUGCGAUUAUAUUCAAAUUUGUUGUACUAUUUUUUAAUUAAGAUAUUGAGAGGUAUAUAAAUUUUUAAGAAAGAAAAAUAAUUUAAUCAAUAGAUAUUAGGAUUUUAAUCUACCUUAGGAUUUGGAUUAGGAUUUUAGGAUUUAUUUAGGAUUUGUCUAAGGUUUGGUUUAGAAUUUAGGAUUUUUCUAGGAUUUAGUUGAAGAUUUAGGAUUUAAUUAGGAUUUAGUUUAGAGUCUAAAAUUUGAUUAGGAUUUGAUUUAGGAUUUAAGAUUUAGAAUUUGUUUAGGGUUUGGUUUAGAAUUUAGGAUUUCUCUAAGAUUUGGAUUAAGAUUUAGGAUUUAUCUAAGAUUUAAAUUAGGAUUUAAGAUAUAUUUAGGAUUUGAUUUAGGAUUUAAAAUUUAUUUAAGGUUUAGGAUUUGGCUAAGAAUUUGAUUGAAGUCCAUUAGGAUUUCAAUUAAGAUUAAAUUAAGACUUGAUUGAGAUUUAUAUAAGAUAUAUUUGUGAUUAUUUUAAUAUUUCUUUUAAGUUUCUUAAGGAUUAUUUUAAGGUUUAUUGUGGAUUUCUUUUGAAUUCCUUUAAGAUUUUUUAUUGUUUCUUUUGUAAUUUCUUUAAAGUUUCUUUUGAAUUUAUUUAAAGCUUAUUUAAUAUUUUUAAUGAUUUAAUUAGAGUUAUUUAAUAUUCUAUUAGAAUUAAGAUUUUGUUAUUGUAAUUUCCACUCUACCUUCCACAACUAGGUAUUUGGUGCAUUUUUGAACAAGACUUCAUAUAAUAUAACAACAUUUCUUCUUUAAGAAAUAGAUUUAUUUGAUUUAAGUAAAGUAGACUCUAUGUACCAUAAGACAAGU
rnacentral:lncRNA from 1 species